rnacentral:rRNA from 1 species
GAUGAUGGCCGUACCAGAAUUGGAUACGUCCAACCUCGGAAGUUUACAUAGUCCUAGGGCCUGCCUAGUAUUUGGAUGAGAGACCUGGCUAUCCCAGGUGCUAUAGACU